rnacentral:rRNA from 1 species
UUAAGCGACUAAGCGUACACGGUGGAUGCCCUGGCAGUCAGAGGCGAUGAAGGACGUGCUAAUCUGCGAUAAGCGUCGGUAAGGUGAUAUGAACCGUUAUAACCGGCGAUUUCCGAAUGGGGAAACCCAGUGUGAUUCGUCACACUAUCAUUAACUGAAUCCAUAGGUUAAUGAGGCGAACCGGGGGAACUGAAACAUCUAAGUACCCCGAGGAAAAGAAAUCAACCGAGAUUCCCCAGUAGCGGCGAGCGAACGGGGAGCAGCCCAGAGCCUGAAUCAGUGUGUGUGUUAGUGGAAGCGUCUGGAAAGGCGUGCGAUACAGGGUGACAGCCCCGUACACAAAAAUGCACAUACUGUGAGCUCGAUGAGUAGGGCGGGACACGUGGUAUCCUGUCUGAAUAUGGGGGGACCAUCCUCCAAGGCUAAAUACUCCUGACUGACCGAUAGUGAACCAGUACCGUGAGGGAAAGGCGAAAAGAACCCCGGCGAGGGGAGUGAAAAAGAACCUGAAACCGUGUACGUACAAGCAGUGGGAGCACGCUUAGGCGUGUGACUGCGUACCUUUUGUAUAAUGGGUCAGCGACUUAUAUUCUGUAGCAAGGUUAACCGAAUAGGGGAGCCGAAGGGAAACCGAGUCUUAACUGGGCGUUAAGUUGCAGGGUAUAGACCCGAAACCCGGUGAUCUAGCCAUGGGCAGGUUGAAGGUUGGGUAACACUAACUGGAGGACCGAACCGACUAAUGUUGAAAAAUUAGCGGAUGACUUGUGGCUGGGGGUGAAAGGCCAAUCAAACCGGGAGAUAGCUGGUUCUCCCCGAAAGCUAUUUAGGUAGCGCCUCGUGAAUUCAUCUCCGGGGGUAGAGCACUGUUUCGGCAAGGGGGUCAUCCCGACUUACCAACCCGAUGCAAACUGCGAAUACCGGAGAAUGUUAUCACGGGAGACACACGGCGGGUGCUAACGUCCGUCGUGAAGAGGGAAACAACCCAGACCGCCAGCUAAGGUCCCAAAGUCAUGGUUAAGUGGGAAACGAUGUGGGAAGGCCCAGACAGCCAGGAUGUUGGCUUAGAAGCAGCCAUCAUUUAAAGAAAGCGUAAUAGCUCACUGGUCGAGUCGGCCUGCGCGGAAGAUGUAACGGGGCUAAACCAUGCACCGAAGCUGCGGCAGCGACGCUUAUGCGUUGUUGGGUAGGGGAGCGUUCUGUAAGCCUGUGAAGGUGUGCUGUGAGGUAUGCUGGAGGUAUCAGAAGUGCGAAUGCUGACAUAAGUAACGAUAAAGCGGGUGAAAAGCCCGCUCGCCGGAAGACCAAGGGUUCCUGUCCAACGUUAAUCGGGGCAGGGUGAGUCGACCCCUAAGGCGAGGCCGAAAGGCGUAGUCGAUGGGAAACAGGUUAAUAUUCCUGUACUUGGUGUUACUGCGAAGGGGGGACGGAGAAGGCUAUGUUGGCCGGGCGACGGUUGUCCCGGUUUAAGCGUGUAGGCUGGUUUUCCAGGCAAAUCCGGAAAAUCAAGGCCGAGGCGUGAUGACGAGGCACUACGGUGCUGAAGCAACAAAUGCCCUGCUUCCAGGAAAAGCCUCUAAGCAUCAGGUAACAUCAAAUCGUACCCCAAACCGACACAGGUGGUCAGGUAGAGAAUACCAAGGCGCUUGAGAGAACUCGGGUGAAGGAACUAGGCAAAAUGGUGCCGUAACUUCGGGAGAAGGCACGCUGAUACGUAGGUGAAGCGACUUGCUCGUGGAGCUGAAAUCAGUCGAAGAUACCAGCUGGCUGCAACUGUUUAUUAAAAACACAGCACUGUGCAAACACGAAAGUGGACGUAUACGGUGUGACGCCUGCCCGGUGCCGGAAGGUUAAUUGAUGGGGUUAGCGCAAGCGAAGCUCUUGAUCGAAGCCCCGGUAAACGGCGGCCGUAACUAUAACGGUCCUAAGGUAGCGAAAUUCCUUGUCGGGUAAGUUCCGACCUGCACGAAUGGCGUAAUGAUGGCCAGGCUGUCUCCACCCGAGACUCAGUGAAAUUGAACUCGCUGUGAAGAUGCAGUGUACCCGCGGCAAGACGGAAAGACCCCGUGAACCUUUACUAUAGCUUGACACUGAACAUUGAGCCUUGAUGUGUAGGAUAGGUGGGAGGCUUUGAAGUGUGGACGCCAGUCUGCAUGGAGCCGACCUUGAAAUACCACCCUUUAAUGUUUGAUGUUCUAACGUGGACCCGUGAUCCGGGUUGCGGACAGUGUCUGGUGGGUAGUUUGACUGGGGCGGUCUCCUCCUAAAGAGUAACGGAGGAGCACGAAGGUUGGCUAAUCCUGGUCGGACAUCAGGAGGUUAGUGCAAUGGCAUAAGCCAGCUUGACUGCGAGCGUGACGGCGCGAGCAGGUGCGAAAGCAGGUCAUAGUGAUCCGGUGGUUCUGAAUGGAAGGGCCAUCGCUCAACGGAUAAAAGGUACUCCGGGGAUAACAGGCUGAUACCGCCCAAGAGUUCAUAUCGACGGCGGUGUUUGGCACCUCGAUGUCGGCUCAUCACAUCCUGGGGCUGAAGUAGGUCCCAAGGGUAUGGCUGUUCGCCAUUUAAAGUGGUACGCGAGCUGGGUUUAGAACGUCGUGAGACAGUUCGGUCCCUAUCUGCCGUGGGCGCUGGAGAACUGAGGGGGGCUGCUCCUAGUACGAGAGGACCGGAGUGGACGCAUCACUGGUGUUCGGGUUGUCAUGCCAAUGGCACUGCCCGGUAGCUAAAUGCGGAAGAGAUAAGUGCUGAAAGCAUCUAAGCACGAAACUUGCCCCGAGAUGAGUUCUCCCUGACCCUUUAAGGGUCCUGAAGGAACGUUGAAGACGACGACGUUGAUAGGCCGGGUGUGUAAGCGCAGCGAUGCGUUGAGCUAACCGGUACUAAUGAACCGUGAGGCUUAACCUU